rnacentral:tRNA from 1 species
UCAGAUAUGGUGUAAAGGUUAACAUAGCCGCGUCUCUCGUGGCAGCUCUGGGUUCAAUUCCCUGUAUCUGAA